CUGUCACACUCCCCACGGCCCUGUCACACUCCCCACGGCCCUGUCCCACUCCCUACAGCCCUGUCGCACUCCCCACAUCCCGUGGCAUCUGGCUGUACAUGGAAGUGAGGAAGCUGCUGUCUCCCCCAAAGAACAUUGCUCCCAGCCAGGGCUCAGCCCUGUGGGGCAGGACUCAGAGGCUCCUGGUUCAGAGACCAGGGCCCUUGUCACUUGCAGCGUGAACAGCAGGGAACUUUGCCCCCGAGUCCCACAACAGAGGUGGGGACCUUGUCACGGUGGGCCCAGGUGUGACAACACAGGGCCAGCGAUUCUUCACCCGGCAGCAAACACUGCAGCAGACGACAAACAUUGCAGCCCUUGGCAAACAAAAAGCACGCAGCAAACAGCGUGGUCAGCGAAAAGACCCUCCCCUCCCCGGGGAUCAGACAGUGCAAGGCCAUCCCCGGGAUGACCUGCACCCACCCGGCUGCCUGUGUGACCAGCCACAGAACCCACUCUGCAUUAGCACCCACGGCCAGGACAGGCAGGGUGCUGCGCCCGUGGCUUCCUGCAUCUGCCGACACCACCCGAGGCUGCCAGGCCACAACAUGAAGUCAGCUGUGCCAGGAAAUCCCAAGCCUCGCCCACACCUGGCCCCGGGCUGUUGCUGCAUGCCAAGGGGUUGCCCACCUGGCUGUGGCUGCCUUACCCCAUGGAAUCCAGGCUCCAACUGACCUCACCAUUCUGUGGGUUAAUUUUCAUUCUUAAAACCUUCAUCUAAAGACCUUUGCUUCCUGGAACACAGGCCUGGGUUUUCCCAACAGUCGUGGGCACCCGGCCUGGCACGUGCUGCUCAGUGGAGGGACCUCACAGCCCGUUCUAUGUGAGCUGUGCAGGAAAAGCUCCACGGACAAACUCACUCUCCGUGACAAUCAGGAGGUUUCUUCUCCAACCACAAGAAGGAGCUGGGGGAGCUCGUGAGGCCAGGAAGAGAACAGUCCUAAUCCCAUCCUUCCCCUCCUCAGCAGUGACCCCAGGGUCUGCUGUCCUGCCCCAACCCACACUUCAAAGAAGGAAGGACACCUGCCUUCCCCUGCUACCUCACACCCCGAAGCAUGGGGAGCAUGGGGACCCUUGGCAGAGUCCUUUUGUAGUGAAGAAUAACAGACUAGUGUAAAAUAGCAGAAAAGAAGCUAAUGGCCAAACACAUCCAAGCUGGGGAAAACACCUGUUAAAUAUAAUGACAGAAUAUGCUCUCAUCAAAACCCAGGAAACUUUAAGAAUACACUAAACCUCACAAAAUGGGGGCGAAAUACAAUGAUGACCACACGUAUGAGAAAUGGUCAAUGGUAGAAUUGAAAGAAAUGCAAGGGAAAUGAAAGAUAAGGGGUCCUUUCCAAGCAAAGUGGCAACGCCACAACAGCUCGCAGUCAGUCUUGGCGGGACAAGAAUGCUGGGCAGUGCUGGUUUGCAGGGAGGGGUCAACUUUUCUGGAAGCAGCCCAGCAAAGUGCCCCACGAGCCAUCAAUUAUUCCUGUGCUUCGCAGCCACAGCCCACGAAUGCAGGUGCAGCCACAGAAGCGCUGGCAGAGGGGAGGCUGAGAGUGGCGCUGGUUGAAGAUUUCUCACAGGAAACAAAAGGCACAGCCUCCACGUGGCUCAUGGCCAUGAAAACCCUUGACUCAAAACUUUCCACGUCGUGAGGAAGACGCGGGUCAGCUGCCCUAGUUGGGUGAUGAUGAUGCUGUCAGGGAAAGCGUCUGUGCCUAUGUGGGGAGAGUAGGGGAGUGAGAAACAAAGCAAAGCGUGGUGGCUCUGUGGCUCCAGUGCCCCGGAGGCCACGGCUCACUUUUUCACAAUGAACAUGGGCUAUUUUCAUUUUUUAAAGUCUACUAAUGUUUCUAAGGAGACCAUACAGAACCGAAAAUUCUGAAUAACCUUGUCUUCCAUAAGGCAGACUUUUCAUUUCUGUCACCUUUCCGGAAGGGCUGGACACAGAGUCUGUGGGUCUGUGAUGGAGGCGCCACCAUCUCACCCCGAGUCCACGGCCCUCAGUCUCUGUGCUCCCCGAGCCGAAGGUGAGGAAUCCAUGCCUUAUGGUUGGCGAGGGCUGCUGGGGCACCUGCCAUCUCAUCUGCAUCCUGGGAAGCAGGAAGGAGCACAGAGGAAAACACAAGCCUGCUCUGGCCAGCUCAGUGUGCUCCUUCCAGAAACAGGUAAACACAAAAUUACCCUGCGAAGCCGCCAUUCCAUUCCUAGGUCUAUCCCCAAAAGAAAUCAAAGCAGGGACUCAAAUACUUGCACAGCCCUUGCCACGACCUGGAUGUAGUCAGUGCAUCUGUUCCCAGCAAAACUCUUGUUGAAACGGGACCCCCAGUGUGGCAGCGUAGGGAGGUGGGGCCUGAGGGGAGGGAGACGUGUGGGUCGUGGGAGUGACUCCCUGGGGAGUCCGUGGUGCUGGGAGUGAUUCUCCUCUUGUGAUACAGGGUGAGUUCCCAUGGGAAUGGAUUUGUUCCCAUGAGUGGGGCUUGUUCUGAAGCCAAGACAUCCCUGAGCUUUAUCUCUCUUCCCGUGUCUGCUUCCCCUUUGACCUCCUCCAGCAGAAGCCAGGGCCAUGCCAUUGAACUUCUCAGCCAGCAGAACUGUGAGCUUGAUGAAUUACCCCAUCACAGAGGUUCUUUUAUGGCUACACAGAAUGGACUCAGACACCCAUGCUCACAGCCGUGCAGUCACAAUAGCCCAAAGGUGGAAACAACCCAGCAGCCUCGUGCCGAGUGAAGCCAGCCAGUCACAAUAGGACCAAUGCUGUGACCCCACAGAUGGAAGGCCCCCAGAGGAGUCAGAUUCAAGAGGAAGAUGGCAGAAUGGCAGUCAGCAGGGCCAGUGACAGAGGCCGAUGGGAGUGAGUGAUUAGUCAGGACGGAGCUCCAGUUUCGCGCGAUGAAAAGGUGCUGGAGCUGCAUGGUGGCGACAGUGGCACAGCCACGUGCAGGUUCCCAAUGCCACGGAACUGUGCACUUACCAUGGGGAUGGUGGGAACUCUCAUGUACCCGCAUUUGACCAGAGAGGAAGGAAGGAAGGGAGGGGGGAGGGAGGAGGGAGGGAGGUAGCAGAGAAGGAAGGAAG
rnacentral:lncRNA from 1 species